GACGAACGCUGGCGGCGUGCUUAACGCAUGCAAGUCGAACGGAAAGGCCCUGCUUUUGUGGGGUGCUCGAGUGGCGAACGGGUGAGUAACACGUGAGUAACCUGCCCUUGACUUUGGGAUAACUUCAGGAAACUGGGGCUAAUACCGGAUAGGAGCUCCUGCUGCAUGGUGGGGGUUGGAAAGUUUCGGCGGUUGGGGAUGGACUCGCGGCUUAUCAGCUUGUUGGUGGGGUAGUGGCUUACCAAGGCUUUGACGGGUAGCCGGCCUGAGAGGGUGACCGGCCACAUUGGGACUGAGAUACGGCCCAGACUCCUACGGGAGGCAGCAGUGGGGAAUAUUGCACAAUGGGCGGAAGCCUGAUGCAGCAACGCCGCGUGCGGGAUGACGGCCUUCGGGUUGUAAACCGCUUUCGCCUGUGACGAAGCGUGAGUGACGGUAAUGUGUAAAGAAGCACCGGCUAACUACGUG
rnacentral:rRNA from 1 species